rnacentral:rRNA from 1 species
CCUACGGGGUGCAGCAGGCGCGAAAACUUCACAAUGCGGGAAACCGCGAUGAGGGGAUUCCAAGUGCGUGCGUUAAGCGUACGCUUUUCUCUAGUCUAGAUAGCUUGAGGAAUAAGGGCUGGGUAAGACCGGUGCCAGCCGCCGCGGUAACACCGGCAGCCCAAGUGGUGGUCGUUUUUAUUGGGCCUAAAGCGUCCGUAGCCUGCUCGGUAAGUCCUUGGGUAAAUCAGCCGGCUCAACCGUUUGAAUUCCAGGGGUACUGCCGGGCUUGGGACUGGGAGAGGCUAGAGGUACUCACGGGGUAGGGGUAAAAUCCAGUAAUCCUGUGGGGACCACCAGUGGCGAAGGCGUCUAGCUAGAACGGCUCCGACGGUAAGGGACGAAGCCCAGGGGCACAAACCGGAUUAGAUACCCGGGUAGUCCUGGGUGUAAACGCUGCGGGCUUGGUGUUGGAGGUCCUGCUAGGGCGUUCAGUGCCGUAGAGAAGUUGUUAAGCCCGCCGCCUGGGGAGUACGGUCGCAAGGCUGAGACUUAAAGGAAUUGGCGGGGGAGCACUGCAACGGGUGGAGCGUGCGGUUUAAUUGGAUUCAACGCCGUAAAACUCACCGGGGGCGACGGUUACAUGAAGGCCAGAUUAAUGAUCUUGCCAGAUUUUCCGAGAAGUGGUGCAUGGCC